UAUCUUUGGGUGUUUCGCACAUAAAGUUUUGAACUUUAAGGUAUUAGUUUAAAGAUAG
rnacentral:tRNA from 1 species